CAAACAGAACAUCGUGAAGAACAUUAUUUUAAAAUAUGCAAAGGAGACUUUGCAAUCACCAGUAUAAACUGCAGUGGAACCAUGGUUUUCAAACUUCUCCGUUGACAAACGUUUCGGAACUCGAAUGCUGGAAGUAACUGCUUCAGUUUUCGAACACUUUUCAGAAGUCAAACAUACCACAUGGCUUCCGUUUUGAGUUUCCCUAUUGUAUUGAUGCUUCCGUAUUGAGUUUUCGGUUUUUGAAUAUUUUUGAACUCGAACAGUCUUCCGGAACGGAUUGCGUUCGAAAACUGAGGUUCCACUGUAAAAAGAACCGAAACACGCCCAACUUCUACACGCCUGUCUGGGCUGGCUUGCUUAAAAGCAGAAAUGUUUUGAUCUGGCACCCGGGAGCCGCAGUUGAACUGAACUUUUGUCUCUCAGGUGCACAUUGCGCUCCCAUCCUUUGUGGAGAAAGUAAGCAAGGCGGCCCCAAAAUGCCCAGCUUCUCGUGUUUGCUGCUCUCCUUGCAGGGUGCAUGGGCAGCCGUGAUAAUCCAAGUCCCUUCAUCCCCAGUGCAGGCAGGGCCACACUCUAAUGUAUCCCUGCCUUGUCACUUCUCCUUAGACCCUCCCAGGCCCAUAAACAUUGAUUUCCUCAUUGUGAGAUGGUCGCUGAGAGGAAAAAACAUUGCAAAGUUCGAUACCAGCAUCACAGUGUUUAGACCGAGGGGAGCAGUGCUUGAUGCAACGCGGCUGCCAGAGGGAAACGCCACCCUCUACCUCUCGGACGUAAGGGAGGAGGAUGCCGGGGAGUAUACGUGUUUUGUUCUCCAUACUCCUGACAGUGCUGAAGGGAAGGUGGCAUUGAAAUUAGAAGCUCCCCCACGCCUAACACUCGGCCCCACAGAAGUGCCGCUGGGAAAACCAAUCAAUUUGACGUGUGCAGCAUCCGACUUUUACCCUGGCCGUGUCUCUGUGAAGUGGCUGCGAGGCAGUGAGACUCUGAAAGUUGAGUCGCCCCCUGCCAAGCUUGAGGCCAAUUACCACUUCUAUGCAGAGAGUGUCCUGAACUUCAUACCACAAAUCUCCGACGCUGGUGUCACCUUCUCAUGCCACAUCCAACACCAAGCAGCGAAAAAUCCAAUCAGUCAGGAUAUUGAGCUGAAGGUGGUAGCUCUCCCACGCCUAACACUCGGCCUCACAGACGUAGAGCUCGGUGAACCAAGCAACUUCUUGUGCGCAGCAUCUGACUUUUACCCUGGCAAUGUCUCUGUAAAGUGGCUGCGAGGCAGUGAGACUCUGAAAGUUGACUCGCCCCCUGUCCAGCAAGGGCCCGAUGGUCUCUUCUAUGCAGAGAGUGUCCUGGAGUUCACACCACAAAUCUCUGACUCUGGCGUUACCUUCUCAUGCCACAUCCAUCACCAAGCGAGAAAAGACCCAAUCAGUCAAGAUUUUGAGCUGAAGGUGGUAGCUCUCCCACGCCUAACACUCGGCCAUACAGACGUAGAGCUGGGCGAACCAAGCAACUUCUUGUGUGCGGCAUCUGACUUUUACCCUGGCAAUGUCUCUGUAAAGUGGCUGCGAGGCAGUGAGACUCUGAAAGUUGACUCGCCCCCUGUCCAGGAAGGGCCCGGUGGUCUCUUCUAUGCAGAGAGUGUCCUGGAGUUCACACCACAAAUCUCUGACUCUGGCGUUACCUUCUCAUGCCACAUCCAUCACCAAGCGAGAAAAGACCCAAUCAGUCAAGAUUUUGAGCUGAAGGUGCAAGCUCGCCCUGAACUUCAUAUGCUCACCAGGCCAUCAGGGAAGACGUUCUUGGUAGCGGAGUGCCUAGCGUGUGGGUUUUACCCACAAAACGUUACAGUGCAGUGGCUGCAAAAUGGAGAGCCGAUCCAAGGGAAAAUAUACGAGUCGGAACUUGUACAGAAUCCUAAUGGGACGUUCUCAACCGGAAGCGUCUUCUUCCCAAAUCAGGACCAUUUUGCAGCCAAUUUUACCUGCCGGGUACAACAUGAAGCACUGGAGGCACCACUGGAGCAGACGAUCCCCUGGGAGCCAGAAGCUCUAGGAUACUUUGGAUCACCGAUGACUUGGCUACUAGGAUCUGCGGGACAUGUUGUGGGAAUUGGCACGGGAGUUGGAGCGACGUUGAUGUACCAAAGACGCAGAGCCCUGUGAGCUCAAGCUGCGCUGAAUGAUGAAACCCUCCUGAAGAAGAUGUCGAAAGUCAGGGGGGGAAAGCCAGAUGAAGUCUUUGGUAUCUAACAGUCCACGGAAUAACAUUUUGGCACAGGGUUGUUCUAGGCAAUGCAAUAUUGUUCCAUUUCAUUAUGUAUUUCCUAGAAAAUCUAUUUCAAGU